CUUCAGGGAGCCCAGCCACAGCGGUCGGCCGUCGGCGCGUUCGCGCCCGUAGGUGGCGAGCAGGGCCUGCGCCUC
rnacentral:antisense_RNA from 1 species